CUGACCAGAAUUUCACCAGGGUGACAUGACAGUUUGUUGCUAAGGAACUGAAGACUAUGUCAUAAGUGAGCAUUCUGAUGAAGAGGAGUGAACAGUUUGCAGCAGAUUGGAUAUUAAGUAUAAAUCAGCUCUCUGUGUAUGUCCUUGUGUGGUGGUAUAACUGACAACAGGUAGGGUUCCUGAUGGGAUUGGGUUCCACCAAUCAGAGCCACUUGCAUGAGACCUCAACUGAGAGCCAGGUGUUUGAAGAGGAGGGGCUCACUCUAAAUCUUGAAGAUGUUCAGCCUCGAAAAAGUAGAAGUCAUUGUGACCAAAGAUGAUGCCACCAUGCCUUUGAAAAAGAAAGGUGAUGAGCCUCAAAUGGAAAAAUACAUUCAAGAAAGGUCAAUGCUAGUGAGUAUGAAUGAACACAUAGCAAAAAUUUCAGGUAGAACAGCCAUGCCAAGGGCUGGUGGGACAGGUGAGGCCGAGUGAAUAAAAAGAAGUAGCCCCAGAGACACUCAAGGUGGUUCCAGCUGCUUUUGAAGGAGGUUUCUUUCUAAGAGGUGGCUGGGCUUGGUUUCAGCGUAUUCCAAUUUGGGACUCAUGAACUGCAACUAAUAAAGAUCAAAAAACUGAUACAGA
rnacentral:lncRNA from 10 species